AUGGCAGAUUAUGUGGACCAUCAACAAACUACCAAAACCGCAGAGGAGCCCCUCGAUCUUAUCAGGCUCAGCCUAGAUGAGCAAAUUUACAUGAAAAUGGGAAAUGACUGAUGGCUUCAAGGCAGAUUACAUGCUUAUGAUCAACAUUUAAAUAUGAUGUUGGGAGAUGUAGAAGAAACUGUGGCUACUAUAGAAAUUGAUGAAUAAACAUACGAAGGGAUAUGUAAAUCAAUGAAACUGAGUAUUCCAACGCGCAUUAUCCAGGGAGAUGGUGUUGUCCUGGUUGUCCCUCCACUGAAAGUUGGCUGA
rnacentral:lncRNA from 10 species